rnacentral:lncRNA from 1 species
GAACAGAAACCACAGACAGUAUUGCCCGCAUGACAGAUUGCCUGCAGUUGAGUGAGGUGAGUGGUCUGCAACUGAACUCCACUCACAUUUUAAAUUUGGUGGACAUUUAACCACCUAUGAAGAGAGCCACCUGGUUAGACAAAUGGCAGCACCAAUCAAAUUCUUUGGGGCUGUCGGCCACUCUCCUUCAUCAAUGAUUGGGAGUGUUUGCAUGGCAAUGGACGGCCCGAUUUGGCCAUCAAAUCUUCUUCAAAACCCAUUUCCUUCUCUAUUUUUCUCCUUCAUUUUAUUAGAAAUUAAAACCAUCUAAACAUGGUGGAAUCGAGAGUAUCUGAGAGGAAAACAAAAAAGAACAGAACGUGCUACGCAAACCUCUGCCAAAGGGGAAGCCUAGUGCGAACAGCGAAGGCAUUCUCCUUUUGUCCUGAUCUAGGUGAGUUUUCUUUUUUAAGAAUUGGUUCCUUUUUGUUUCUAAAUACUUAAACAUCCUUCUUCCAGUUUCCAGAACUUAUUUGCAGUAACUUUCUUCACUCAUUGUUGUUCCCUCUGUUGUCAUAGGUUACAGAUAAAAAUUGGGUUUUGAUUAUGUAUCGGUUCCAAAUCCUUUUUCUUUCCUAUUUCUUUUUAGUAAUACAUUGUUAGAUUGUUAGUGGUCUUCUAAGGGUAGUUAAACAAGCUUGAAUCCUGGAAAUAACAAGAAAUUAACUCUGAUUCUGCAACAGUUGUAGAAUUGCCUUCAAACUUCAAACCACUUUUUCUUUGCGUUGUUUCAGCUUGUUUCUAUUGCAGAUACAAGGUAAGAUGGGCAAUAAUUCUGGUUGAUGCAAGGAUGGAUUUAUAUUACACAUUUAUUUAGUAAACAUCUUAAAAAUAAAAAACAAGUGGUAUUUAAAACGGACGGUGUGUGAGUACAUGAAUGUUUUAAAUAAUGCAUCUUUUUGGUGAUUU